GUCCUGGUGAUUCUAGCGCAAGGGCCACACCUGUUCCCAUCCCGAACACAGCAGUUAAGCCUUGCAGCCCCGAUGAUACUACUCAGUGGGAAAGUAGGACGUCGCCAGGACC
rnacentral:rRNA from 1 species